rnacentral:rRNA from 1 species
AUUCCAGCUCCAAUAGCGUAUAUUAAAGUUGUUGCAGUUAAAAAGCUCGUAGUUGGAUUUCUGGUUCAGAGGGCUUGGCCCAUGGCCAAUUCUAGGUUCAUGAGUGCCGAUGCUUUCGUACCAUCCUUCCGGUGAUGAUUCAGGUCCCCUUCAUUGGGUCAGCCUGGUUGUUCCGGAUCUUUUACUUUGAAAAAAUUAGAGUGUUUAAAGCAAGCUGUGUGUUGAAUACAUUAGCAUGGAAUAAUAAUCUAGGACUUUGGUUCUAUUUUGUUGGUUUCUAGCGCCAAAGUAAUGAUUGAUAGGGAUAGUUGGGGGUGCUAGUAUUUACCGGCCAGAGGUGAAAUUCUUGGAUUCGGUAAAGACUAACUUAUGCGAAAGCAUUCACCAAGGAUGUCUUCAUCG